rnacentral:rRNA from 1 species
UGGGGAAUAUUGCGCAAUGGACGGAAGUCUGACGCAGCAACGCCGCGUGAGGGAUGACGGCCUUCGGGUUGUAAACCUCUUUCAGCAGGGACGAAGCGAGAGUGACGGUACCUGCAGAAGAAGGACCGGCCAACUACGUGCCAGCAGCCGCGGUAAUACGUAGGGUCCGAGCGUUGUCCGGAAUUAUUGGGCGUAAAGGGCUCGUAGGCGGUUCGUCGCGUCGGGAGUGAAAACUCGGAGCUCAACUCCGAGCCUGCUUCCGAUACGGGCAGACUAGAGGUAGGCAGGGGAGAGCGGAACUCCUGGUGUAGCGGUGGAAUGCGCAGAUAUCAGGAAGAACACCGGUGGCGAAGGCGGCUCUCUGGGCCUUACCUGACGCUGAGGAGCGAAAGCGUGGGUAGCGAACA